rnacentral:rRNA from 1 species
UACGUAGGGUGCGAGCGUUAAUCGGAAUUACUGGGCGUAAAGCGUGCGCAGGCGGUUUUGCAAGACAGAUGUGAAAUCCCCGGGCUUAACCUGGGAACUGCAUUUGUGACUGCAAGACUAGAGUGCGGCAGAGGGGGGUAGAAUUCCACGUGUAGCAGUGAAAUGCGUAGAUAUGUGGAGGAAUACCGAUGGCGAAGGCAGCCCCCUGGGUCGACACUGACGCUCAUGCACGAAAGCGUGGGGAGCAAACAGG